rnacentral:tRNA from 1 species
AAGAAAGACAUAAUGGUUAUGAGGCUGGCUUGAAACUAGCUAUAGGAAGUUCGAUUCUUUCCUUUCUUG